rnacentral:tRNA from 1 species
CUGGGUGUGGCGCAGCUGGUAGCGCGCUACCUUGGGGUGGUAGAGGCCGCUGGUUCAAGUCCAGUCACUCAGA